AUGUCUUCAAACCCUUCAGAUUUGGAUCCGUACGUUCUGGGACACCGAAAGAAACAUGUCAGCAAUAGACCCUGCCAUAGUGUUCCCGAUGCCAAAAGUUCCCAGGGAGAGAGCGUUCGAAAGGGAUCACACAGCCUGCCUGACUGGACGAGGAAGACCCGCACGCUUCAACCCGACCAGGAGGCCUCUGGGGGCCCAGAGCAGCAUCAGGGCAGUGAGAAGAGGGGCAACCACCCUGCCAGCAUGAGGCAGCCACUGGGACCAGACAGGGAAAAGGGGAAGAAAGCAUACUUGGCGGCAAAUGGGAGCAUGGUGCCACCAGCUUCUCAGCGAGCGCGACAGUCGACAGGGAAAGACGGAGACUCCAGUCAGGAGGUAUACGGCGAAACCUCGUCUGAGAGCUACAGCUCGGCCUCCAGCCCCCAGCACCACGAACCAGAGAGCCUGGACAGCGAGGACGAAAAGGAUAAAGGUGAGACAGACACAUAUACCAUGAUUAGAUUUUGGGCUUGUCUUAUUUUUGGGACAUCACU
rnacentral:lncRNA from 13 species